GUUUUAACAUUUCUUCUCCAGGGACUUCUGAGGAUGACGAUGAAGAACUGGUAUCUUCUGCAUCGCAAUGUGAAGCACAGCUAAAUACAGCUCUUGCAACGACUGCAUUUAGAGGCCUGUGCUGAUCCCCCUCCAGUAGCGAUGCCAGGUCUUGUUGUUUAUCAGCCACCAGCUGAGCUUCCCAGUCACUGAAAGGAUCAGCUUCCACCUUUCCAGCAGGAGUGGAUUCGGCACACAUUAUUCAAGGCCAACCCACGAACCGGCAAGCCAGAGCUAAUGGACCAGCUGAAGCUUUGGUGCCAUACCUCCUCAGUCCCUUCUCAUUCACACCCUGCCUCCCGCCUCUCCUGACCACUUCUUCUGUCGGCCGCUGUUCUUAUGGAUGCCCCAUAAGAUGUGGCAGUUUCCUCUUGUCUGUCUUCGUCCAGCCUGUGGCAAGCACCGACUAACAGCAGCAGGACUGUAUACCGAACAGUGCGCAAGGUGUUGGACAUUGACGGGUGGUAUGACCUUGCAACUGAGUAUCUUGAGUGCAACCGCUGCUCAAAAAAGUAUGCUGCUUGGUCCGAGGACAUCUUAGGACAGCUGGAUAUGGGCCACCGCAGCCAGUUUCCAGCUUUGCUAACAUACAGAUACACAUGUGACAUCCGGGUACUGAGAAUGAUGAGGGAGAGGACAAUGGGCAACAGUGUGACUCAACUGUACAAAAAGCUGCUGGAACAACACAGCGAAGCAUGGAUGCAGCGUGUCCUUCAGUACCUGACAGCUUGUGAACCGUUUACAAGAUUGUCUGCUGUGCAUCCCCCUGCAUUCGCUGAGCCUCCCCUCUUGCCUGAUCUUCCCAAACCCAAGUGGCUGUUGGCUGUGUAUGCCAGGGAUGUACUAGGUCGACUGCAUGAGGUGAAGGCCAAAAUAACCUCCAUCUUUGGCUCUGUCCUCAAGAUGGACUACACAAAAAAAGUCACCAAGAAACUUGCUGGUGCUGCUGCAGGUACAGCUGCUUGGUGCACUAAUGUGGGAAAUGAGCACGGUCAAGUUUUAGUUUCGGUCCUAACAGCCGGUGAGGGACAAGCACUGGACGCUAUGUCAGCUGGCCUAAUGAAGCGGUUCAGGGAGGCAGGACAGGCAGCGCCCAAAAUAAUGUACGUGGACAGAGACUGCUGCAGUCAGCAUGGCCCUUGUCGGGUGAAGGCCAUGUUUUCAAGGGCUUGAAGUGCGCCUUGAUAUAUGGCAUUUCAUGCGGCAGUUUGCUGCAGGCAUCACAACGGAGGCUCACUUUCACGUCCACGUGCAUUUUUGAGUGGGAUCCGGAGGAUGUUGCUGCUCUUCGCCGUGCGAAAAAAAAAGAGUGGGAGCUGACUACGAGGGUCGGCCACAUCUCUGAGGAGGCGGUGACUACACGUAUUACCCAGAGGGAGUUGGCGCUGCACUGCAGGAGGAGGACCAUCAGACUGAUUGGGUCACUGAUCAGUCUGUUUGACAGUGUAAGUGGGAAGGACACUCUAGGUGUUCCUCUGCUGGACCACGAACAUAUUCAGAAUAUAUGGCAGGAGAAACAUGUGGGCUGUACCCAAGACCCAGAGAGGACCUGCUCAACAAGAAGACAGGCACCCUGAAGAAAGGCGGUGUGGAGCUGUGCUGCUACAGGUGUGCCUGUGGCUCUACCUCCCAGGAGAAACACGUGGGCUGUACCCAAGACCCAGAGGACCUGCUCUACAUUAACUCAUUGAGU